rnacentral:lncRNA from 1 species
UUACCAGAACACACAGCAAGAACACCAACAACAAUCGAGCCACACCGAACCGAAGUGCCUAGAACGAAAGAGAGGAAAAGAGAAAGGAAAAUUAGCAAAAAAUAAAAUUGGCAGGGAUUGAGAGAAUUGAAACGUCUAAAAUUUGGAAAAGAACUGAAAAAGAAAAGAAAAGAAAAAUCCCAAUUGAUAACCCCCAAAUCCCUUAAUUUUCUACUAUUAUCACUCCACAAAAAUAACCUCCCCAAAUCCCUCCAAA